UUAGUUUAUAAAUCAAUGUUAGCUAAUCUUGCGAAUGAUGUUAAUAAUUUAUAGUUGUUAAUUGGCUCCUCAGCGAGAAACUGAUAAAUGUCAUUGUAUCGUAGUAGGUGUCACAUAAAUCACUGUUGUUUACAUUCAUUUUAUAAAGUGUAUGUUUGUCGAAUGCAUGUCCGCUUAGUAUUCUGUUUAAUUGUUUUAUUUCCAAGGAAUGGAAGGAUUCUUUUUUAUGGAACCAUGGAGCCGACAAAAGAAAAGGAAAUAACAAACAAUAUCCUUUGUUUCUUUCGAAGCAAAAUGCAUUAUACUCAUAUUCCCAGUCAGAUUUAAUUUUGUUAUAUAAAUUAUUAAUCGCGUCAUUUAUAGGCCAUCUUGCUGAGAUAAGGACUCCAUUCGUUCUAGCGUUCUUUGCUGCAGCGUCCACUUGGUAGUUUUCCUUUAUGCCCAAAUUUUCUUUCCUUUUCAUGAUUCAUUUGCCUUUCUUGCCGCUCUGGGCGCUGGUCAACGACAAAUUUUGACAGUUCAGCCUUAUAAAAUGCACAGCCCCUAUAGGUGGCUCUAUGGCCAUCUCCGCAGUUGCCACACUUUGGAGAUUGGCCAUCAGGAGUGGCGCAUUUGUCGGAUUUAUGCUGGCCAGCACAGACGGAGAAGAGCGGGGGAAGGCAGCAGUACCUGGCUGUAUGGUUUUGCAUUGGGGAAUCUCCCUUUGGCCCCUUUGCCUCUCGACGCGUACCUCCUGGCUGCCUAGGACCUUAAUUUUAAGUAUUUCAUCAUGUUUAUUGUCAUUAUGUUUGUUAAUUUCAAUUAAAAAGACAUUCAUUGGCCUCUUA